AUGGCCCAUGCUCGUGGUAUCGUGGCCUUUAGCUCUGUCUACGUGUUUGACGAUGUGAUCACCAAGGGGCCCUCGAUCACAUCUAAGGUGCUUGGGAAUGCGCAGGGCAUGUACGUCGGCACAGCAAAAGAUGGGUACACGAUUUUGAUGGUCAUCGAUGUUGAGAUCACAACUGGCCCAUUCAAUGGCAGUUCGUUUGUAUUGUUCUCAAGGAACCCGUUGAGAUCAACCAGGGAGCUCCCCGUUAUUGGAGGUCGGGGUGCAUUCCGGAUGGCCCAAGGGUACGGCAUGCUCCGGAUGGUGUGCGUUCACUGUCUCACCUCUACGAACCCUCCCAGUGGAGAUGUGAUAGAGUACAAUGUGACGCUCUGGCACCAUUAG
rnacentral:rRNA from 1 species